GUGUGUUCGGUGUGUGUUCAGGGUGUGUGUUCAGGGUGUGUUCAGGGUGUGUUCGGUGUGUGUUCAGGGUGUGUUCAGGGUUCAGUGUGUGUUCAGGGUGUGUUCGGUGUGUGUUCAGGGUGUGUUCGGUGUGUGUUCAGGGUGUGUUCGGUGUGUGUUCGGUGUGUGUUCAGGGUGUGUUCGGUGUGUGUUCAGGGUGUGUUCGGUGUGUGUUCAGGGUGUGUUCAGGGUGUGUUCAGGGU